rnacentral:rRNA from 1 species
UACGUAGGUGGCAAGCGUUGUCCGGAUUUACUGGGCGUAAAGAGCGCGCAGGCGGUCGGAUAAGUCGAAUGUGAAAGCCCCUGGCUCAACCAGGGAGGGUCAUUCGAUACUGUUCGACUCGAAGGCAGGAGAGGGAAGUGGAAUUCCGGGUGUAGUGGUGAAAUGCGUAGAUAUCAGGAGGAACACCGAUGGCGAAGGCAGAUCUCUGGGCCGUAACUGACGCUGAGGAGCGAAAGCAUGGGGAGCGAACAGG